CUGCCAACUGAGGACAUAUAAAGUGGACAUGGCAAUCUAUGCCACCAGCAGUGACAAUCAUGCCUUCAGAUGCAAUAACUUCAGUAUUGACCUGCAAUUUCAUGAAAUUUUAUCUCUUUUCUUUAGCAAAUUAAUAUGAAACGUUCAGUAAAUAGUUAGUUACCCCAACAAUCAUGUUGUUAUGGACACCAUCCAUGACAUCAGGGUUUCCAGCCUUUCCAAUAGCAACUAUAAGUCCACCUUUUAUACCGAUAUCAGCCUUGUAUAUUCCGGUAUAAUCAAUCACAACAGCAUUGGUUAUAACUGUAUCUAGGCAGAAAGAUUCUGGGUACCCUGAAGCUUGUCCCAUGCCAUCACGCAG
rfam:Zea mays cultivar B73 chromosome 1, whole genome shotgun sequence.